rnacentral:rRNA from 1 species
UAAUGGCCCACCAACGCAAAGAUCGGUAGCCGGCCGAGAGGGCGCACGGCCACACUGGAAGUGAAACACGGUCCAGACUCCUACGGGAGGCAGCAGUGGGGAAUUUUGCGCAAUGGGGGAAACCCUGACGCAGCAACGCCGCGUGGAGGAUGAAGUCCCUUGGGACGUAAACUCCUUUCGACCCGGACGAUAAUGACGGUACGGGUGGAAGAAGCCCCGGCUAACUUCGUGCCAGCAGCCGCGGUAAUACGAGGGGGGCAAGCGUUGUUCGGAAUUAUUGGGCGUAAAGGGCGGGUAGGCGGUGCGGUAAGUCACCUGUGAAACCUCUUGGCUUAAUUGAGGGACUGGCUCGGAUACUGCUUGAGGCAAUCAGAGGGUGAUGGAAUUCCCGGUGUAGCGGUGAAAUG